UACGUAGGGGGCAAGCGUUGUCCGGAUUUAUUGGGCGUAAAGAGCGUGUAGGCGGCUUUACAGGUCCGUUGUGAAAACUCGAGGCUCAACCUCGAGACGCCGGUGGAAACCGUAAGGCUAGAGUCCGGAAGAGGAGAGUGGAAUUCCUGGUGUAGCGGUGAAAUGCGCAGAUAUCAGGAGGAACACCCGUGGCGAAAGCGGCUCACUGGACCACAACUGACGCUGAUGCACGAAAGCUAGGGGAGCAAACAGG
rnacentral:rRNA from 1 species